CUACGGGGUGCAGCAGUGGGGAAUAUUGCACAAUGGGCGCAAGCCUGAUGCAGCCAUGCCGCGUGGAGGAUGACGCAUUUCGGUGUGUAAACUCCUUUUAUAUGUCAAGAAAAUGACGGUAGCAUAUGAAUAAGCACCGGCUAACUCCGUGCCAGCAGCCACGGUAAUACGGAGGGUGCAAGCGUUACUCGGAAUCACUGGACGUAAAGGACGCGUAGGCGGGUUGGAAAGUCAGGUGUGAAAUCCUACAGCUUAACUGUAGAACUGCACUUGAAACUUCUAAUCUAGAGUAUGGGAGGGGGAGAUGGAAUUAGUGGUGUAGGGGUAAAAUCCGUAGAUAUCACUAGGAAUACCUAAAGCGAAGGCGACCUCCUGGAACAUUACUGACGCUAAGGCGUGAAAGCGUGGGGAGCAAACAGGAUUAGAUACCCGAGUAGUC
rnacentral:rRNA from 1 species